rnacentral:pre_miRNA from 1 species
UCUUCAUUUCGCGUACUCUCUCUCACCGGUCAGAGUGAUAAGAGAGAGUGUGUAAAAUGAAGAGA